rnacentral:tRNA from 1 species
GUACCAUUAGCUCAGCUGGAUAGAGCGUCUGGCUACGGACCAGAAGGCCAGGGGUUCGAAUCCUCUAUGGUACACCA